GGCAAAUUUUUGGCUCAGUGGUAGAGCGCUUUCUAGCCUGCUCACGAGGUCCUGGGUUCGAUUCCCAGUUUGACA
rnacentral:tRNA from 1 species